rnacentral:rRNA from 1 species
CGCCUUGCCAGCCCGCUCAGAACUUAAAGGAAUUGACGGGGCCCGCACAAGCGGUGGAGUAUGUGGUUUAAUUCGAUGCAACGCGAAGAACCUUACCUGGUCUUGACAUCCCGGAGACCCUUAGGAAACUAGGGGUGCUUCCAUCUGGAAGAAUCUGGAGACAGGUGCUGCAUGGCUGUCGUCAGCUCGUGUCGUGAGAUGUUGGGUUAAGUCCCGCAACGAGCGCAACCCUUGCCUUUAGUUGCCAGCAGUUCGGCUGGGCACUCUAAAGGGACUGCCGGUGUUAAACCGGAGGAAGGUGGGGAUGACGUCAAGUCCUCAUGGCCUUUAUGACCAGGGCUACACACGUACUACAAUGGCCGAUACAAAGGGCAGCGACACUGCGAGGUGAAGCCAAUCCCGUAAAAUCGGUCUCAGUCCGGAUUGGAGUCUGCAACUCGACUCCAUGAAGUUGGAAUCGCUAGUAAUCGUGGAUCAGCAUGCCACGGUGAAUACGUUCCCGGGCCUU